GACCUUCUUUUGGCUUCUCCUUGACGCUAAGGUAGGCAUUCUCCCCUUUUAGCUACUGGAAAUACGAAGGAGGGGCUUGGAUAAAGUGAAAGUUUUACAAUCGAUCAAGUUCUUAAAGAUCAAGUGGCAGUAACAGUAAGAGAUCGAAAAUCAUCUCUAGUUUCUCUGUAAGGUAUUUGCUCUGAUGAUUGAACUCUAUCGAGGCGAGCUUUAGCUAACUUAGAGCGACUUCAAGGUUUAGCAGACAGUCGAGUGCAAGGCGGUCAGCGCACAUACUAGAGUUCCCACAGUUUCCUCUCUUUUGGUGAGCCCACCUUCGUACUCGUGGGACCACAAUAUUUCAGUUGUAUAUAUUUUUAUAGUGUGGACAAGCUCCGUAACUUUAUUACUUUAUUCGUAGCGUCAUAGAGGCUUCAUAGAGGGUUUAUAUUAUCUUAGGGGAAUGGGUACUCAUAUGAUAUUGCGGGUGACAUUUUUGCUUAUGUCUAGUUUUUUUUUUUUUAUGAACUUUUAUUGUUAAUGAAGUUUAUCUUAUUUCU